GACGAACGCUGGCGGCAUGCCUAACACAUGCAAGUCGAACGAGAAAGUCACUUCGGUGGUGAUUAAAGUGGCGCACGGGUGAGUAACGCGUAGACAAUCUGCCCUUCAGUCUGGGACAACUUUUCGAAAGGAGAGCUAAUACCGGAUAACAAUGUUUAACAUAAGUUAGAUAUUUAAAAGCUUUAUGUGCUGAGGGAGUGGUCUGCGUCCCAUUAGCUAGUUGGUGAGGUAAAGGCUUACCAAGGCAACGAUGGGUAGCGGGUUUGAGAGGACGAUCCGCCACACNGGAACUGAGACACGGUCCAGACUCCUACGGGAGGCAGCAGUGGGGAAUAUUGCACAAUGGAGGAAACUCUGAUGCAGCAAUGUCGCGUGAGUGAAGAAGGCCCUUGGGUCGUAAAGCUCUUUUAUGGGGGAAGAUGAUGACCG
rnacentral:rRNA from 1 species